rnacentral:pre_miRNA from 1 species
UGUCCUAACUUAGAAAGCAAAGAUAUUGUGAGAAGUUUCGGAUAAACGAAACUUCUCACAAUAUCUUUGCUUUCUAAGUUAGGACA